AACAAAAAUUGUACGUUUUUAUUAUGCUCAAGUCUAUCUCCCUUCCUAGUUCCCAUUUGUUUAUUACUAAAGAACUGUGCUUUAGUAGUUGGCAGAAUCUCCGGGAAAUUUCAUAGCGUAAAAGGCUUCCUUCUGUGCCCGGGAAACAAAGAAACACGUGCAAAGGGAGGCAAACCAUCAAAUGGGAAGCAGCAAAUGUGAAAACCUGCACAAGAACGUGCCAAGAUAGGCACCUGUGGGAAAGCACUCUAAAAACCACAAGCGCGAGUUGCACGAUACAGCUAUUUCCCCACGGCUGAGCGAUCCAGCGAGCUCUGCUGAGCGGAUUCAGGAACGCGGGGCCGAACAGGAGCGGCGCUUUCCGGCAGCCUCCGCGGGAACCCUCCGGGACCGCGGCCUCCCUCCACCACCCCCAGAGAGCUCCUCCGCCGCGCCUCCCCCGUAAACCGCGGCGGCAGAACCCGCCCAGCGCCGUCCCCACCACCGCCGAGGGCCGUGCGGNGCGGCCGCCGUGAGGGGGUCGGGCGGCCCCAGGGGCCUGAAGCGGCACGGCACGGCACGGCAGGCGCGCCUCAGUGAGCGGAAUUAUUCUAACGAGCCGUCAUUUGACCUUAGUGUUAGUUAUGGGCAGGUCCAUUAUUUGAAAAGUUUGUUACAUCUUAUGAGCUCAAAGAAGGUUGCACAGUAAUGAAACACAUUGAGAAUUUUUGGCUUUUGAUGACUUCUAGAGAGCUUUCCAUUUCUCCUAAGUUAUCUGAAAAAAUAAUAUUUGAAGCCACCAGGAAAUCCACGUUCAAGAGCUGUCUAGAAAAGAUUUAA
rnacentral:lncRNA from 1 species